AACGAACGCUGGCGGCGUGCUUAACACAUGCAAGUCGAACGCGAAAGUUUCCUUCGGGAAGCGAGUAGAGUGGCGCACGGGUGAGUAACACGUGGAUAAUCUGCCCGACGAUCUGGGAUAACAUUCCGAAAGGAGUGCUAAUACCGGAUAAGCCCACAGGCUCUUCGGAGUUUGCGGGAAAAGGUGGGGACCUUCGGGCCUACCGUCGUCGGAUGAGUCCGCGUCCCAUUAGCUAGUUGGCGGGGUAAUGGCCCACCAAGGCGACGAUGGGUAGCUGGUCUGAGAGGAUGAUCAGCCACACUGGAACUGAGACACGGUCCAGACUCCUACGGGAGGCAGCAGUGGGGAAUUUUGCGCAAUGGGGGAAACCCUGACGCAGCAACGCCGCGUGAGUGAUGAAGGCUUUCGGGUCGUAAAGCUCUGUCAGGGGGGAAGAAACUCUUGUGGUCGAACAGGCCACAGGAUUGACGGUACCCUCAAAGGAAGCACCGGCUAACUCCGUGCCAGCAGCCGCGGUAAUACGGAGGGUGCGAGCGUUGUUCGGAAUUAUUGGGCGUAAAGCGCGUGCAGGCGGCCUGUUAAGUCUGAUGUG
rnacentral:rRNA from 1 species